rnacentral:pre_miRNA from 1 species
UGUGAAAUAUGGGUCAAAUGGUAAAAACAUAUUUAAGUUUUCAAGAAACUGCCAAACCUUUUUCCAAAGUGGUUAUACCAUUUUACAUUCCCACCAGU